rnacentral:rRNA from 1 species
GACGAACGCUGGCGGCGUGCUUAACACAUGAAAGUCGAACGCUGAAGGCCCAGCUUGCUGGGUUGGAUGAGUGGCGAACGGGUGAGUAACACGUGAGUAACCUGCCCUCUUCUUUGGGAUAACGGUCGGAAACGGCUGCUAAUACCGGGUAUUCACUGUCCUUCCCAUGGGGGGUGGUGGAAAGGUUUUUUCUGCCGGGGGGUGGGCCUCGCUUUCUAUCAGCUUGUGGGUGGGGUGACCCCUUACCAAGGAUUUGACGGGGAAUCUGCCUGAUAGGGUGACCGGUCUCUUCUCGACCGAGGUCCGGCCCACACUCCUACCGGAGGUGUGGGAUAUUUCAUAUGACAAUAUCCC